GGGGUUGUGGCUCAGUGGUAGAGUGCUCACCUAGCAUGUGAGAGGCCCUAGGUUCAAUCCUCAGCACCCCA
rnacentral:tRNA from 1 species